rnacentral:rRNA from 1 species
CCUACGGGUGGCAGCAGUGAGGAAUAUUGGUCAAUGGACGAGAGUCUGAACCAGCCAAGUAGCGUGAAGGAUGACUGCCCUAUGGGUUGUAAACUUCUUUUAUAAAGGAAUAAAACGAGGCACGUGUGCCUUUUUGCAUGUACUUUAUGAUUAAGGAUCGGCUAACUCCGUGCCAGCAGCCGCGGUAAUACGGAGGAUCCGAGCGUUGUCCGGAUUUAUUGGGUUUAAAGGGAGCUGAGAUGGGAUUUUAAGUCAGUUGUGAAAGUUUGCGGCUCAACCGUAAAAUUGCAAUUGAUACUGGCAGUCUUGAGUACAGUUGAGGUAGGCGGAAUUCGUGGUGUAGCGGUGAAAUGCUUAGAUAUCACGAAGAACCCCGAUUGCGAAGGCAGCUUACUAAACUGUGACUGACAUUGAUGCUCGAAAGUGUGGGGAGCAAACAGGAUUAGAUACCCGUGUAGUC